GUGAAAGAGGAGGAGGGGGAGAUGACUGUUACAUCGAAAAAGGAGGAGGAGGAAACUGGAUAUCUGGGCCCCGUUUCCCAAAGUCAUCUUAAGGCGUCUAGGCAUGGUUCUACAGAUGAAGUUAGCCGUGAAAUGCUUUUGGGAAACCGGGGGCCUGAUAAACACUAGAGAGAGACGUGACUAUUGGGGAUCCUCUGGGGAGCCUCAACAACCUCAUGAUGCUGAAGAGACAGAGAAGAGUCUCUCCACAUCAGAACACCUCAAACACCAGCGAAAACCCACAGGGAAGAAACCUUACCGCUGCUCUGACUGUGGGAAGAGUUAUUUAAGAUCAGAUUCACUGAAAAUACACCAGAGAACACAAACAGGAGAGAAGCCUUAUAGCUGUUAUCAGUGUGGGAAAAGUUUUACUUCCUCUAGCCACCUGACCAUACACCAGAGAACACACACAGGAGAGAGACCUUACCACUGCUCUGACUGUGGAAAGAGUUUUGUUAUCUCAGGAAAUUUAACAUUACACCGGAGAACACACACAGGAGAGAAGCCUUAUAGCUGUAAUCAAUGUGGGAAGAAUUUUUCUCACUCAGGCAACCUGAUAGCACACCUGAGAAUACACACUGGAGAGAAACCUCAUUGCUGCUCUGACUGUGGGAAGAGAUUCAUCUUUUUAGCAGAUCUUAAAAUACAUCAGAGAAUCCAUACAGGAGAAAAACCUUACCACUGCUCUGACUGUGGAAAGAGUUUUGGUUCAUCAAAACAUUUAAAAUCACACCAGAGGGGACACACAGGCGAGAAACCUUAUAGCUGUGGUCAAUGUGGGAAGAGUUUUGUUACAUCUAGCUGUCUGAAAAAACACCAGCGGACACACACAGGAGAGAAACCUCAUAGCUGUAGUCAAUGUGACAAGAGAUACUCUGAUAAAAGAUCUCUGAUUAAACAUCAGAAAAUACAUACAUGAAGUUGUUUCAUGAUAUCAAUGAAAUAAUGUUACAAUGUAGAAUGUUUUAACAUUGUAGAAGGAGUAUUUUAAUGAUGUCACAAUGUAGAAUGUUUUAACAUUGUAGAAGGAGUAUUUUAAUGAUGUCACAAUGUAGAAUGUUUUAACAUUGUAGUAGGAGUAUUUUAAUGAUGUCACAAUGUAGAAUGUUUUAACAUUGUAGUAGGAGUAUUUUAAUGAUGUCCUGUUGAUUUAAGUGUCAUGUGGAUAUGAGCCUCAUCAGGGGAAAAAUCCAGGCUCUGUAUUGAAAGAGUAUUAUUUAACCAAAAAAGUGUUGCGUUACACUUA